rnacentral:rRNA from 1 species
CCCUUAGACGUUCUGGGCCGCACGCGCGCUACACUGACCAGUGCAACAAGCAUCCGUCCUUGGCCGACAGGCCCGGGCAAUCUUUGAACGCUGGUCGUGAUGGGGAUAGACUUUUGCAAUUUUUGGUCUUCAACGAGGAAUUCCUAGUAAACGCAAGUCAUCAACUUGCAUUGAUUACGUCCCUGCCCUUUGUACACACCGCCCGUCGCACCUACCGAUUGAAUGGUCCGGUGAAGCCUCCGGAUUGGCGCGCAACUCGGUGCCGCCGAGAAGUUGGCUAAACCUUACCAUUUAGAGGAAGGUGAAGUCGUAACA